GCAUGGAUAUUGGAAUUGGCAGACACUUAUGUUUGAGAGGCGUAUGGCGAAAGCCGUGUAGGUCCAAGCCCUGUUCCAGGCUCCA
rnacentral:tRNA from 1 species